rnacentral:lncRNA from 1 species
GUGAUAAGAGACACAUAAAGAGGAUCCUGAAGAAGUGUUCUGCCACUUAGGAGGAGCUGAAAACAUUUUCAACUUUUCUGACUUGCAAUGAAGUUAAAGUUAUGUGAAGAACCUCGAACAUUCAGCCCACGUUCCUUGUGCAGUGGUCCUUGGGGUUUGUUUGAGGCGUUUGUAACUGUUUUUAGGGACAAGGUCUCUGACUGGCCUGGAAAUUGCUACAGAAAGGAAACUUCUGGCGGUCCUCCCAACUCAGCCUGAAAAGUUUUAGAAGCAGAUUUAUCUACUCAAUAAAUUUCCAUUGAAUGGGGUCCAGGAAAAAGGAACAUAAACCAGAGGAAGAGAUUCUCUGCGCUGCCUCAGUCGCACGUGGUUUCUUAAGGAUCCAAACUAUUUGUCUCAUUGAUACAUCUACUGCAGGCCAGCAACAUGGCUUGGUGGGUGAAUGGUCUUGCGGCCAAAGCUAAUGGCAUGGGUUUGACCCCUCAGCACGCACAGUGGAAAAAGAAAACUGACUCCUCUACUUGUCCUCUGACCCUCACAAGGAGUAGCAAGUACACACACUCACACACAGUGGUGACACACAUACUUCUAAAUGUCUACUUAGUUAAUCCCCACCAUAAUGAAAGCUCUUUGAUCAGUCAGUAAGCAUUUCAUGACCUAUUCCUCCACUGAGCAAACCCAAAGAUACAAUAUUAUCUCACUGAAACGUUGAAUUUGAACUUCAAAUUCAUCUUUGCUGAGGACUAAAAUUACUCUGUCUUACUUAGCCUCCACGGGAGAAACACUAGUGUGUCAUAACAAAAUAGUUUAAUAUUUUGAAAGCUGUUACAACAUUGCUUUUCAAAAAUAGACCAAAUGAAUGUACCUGUUUGCUUCAGUGUCACUGUGACUGUAGAUAUUAUUAAAGACUAACUCAUUUUUAGAACAAUACAGACAGGUCACAGUGGCUACUGUCUCUAGU